GAUGAACGCUGGCGGCGUGCCUAAUACAUGCAAGUCGAGCGAAUGGAUUAAGAGCUUGCUCUUAUGAAGUUAGCGGCGGACGGGUGAGUAACACGUGGGUAACCUGCCCAUAAGACUGGGAUAACUCCGGGAAACCGGGGCUAAUACCGGAUAACAUUUUGAACCGCAUGGUUCGAAAUUGAAAGGCGGCUUCGGCUGUCACUUAUGGAUGGACCCGCGUCGCAUUAGCUAGUUGGUGAGGUAACGGCUCACCAAGGCAACGAUGCGUAGCCGACCUGAGAGGGUGAUCGGCCACACUGGGACUGAGACACGGCCCAGACUCCUACGGGAGGCAGCAGUAGGGAAUCUUCCGCAACGGACGAAAGUCUGACGGAGCAACGCCGCGUGAGUGAUGAAGGCUUUCGGGUCGUAAAACUCUGUUGUUAGGGAAGAACAAGUGCUAGUUGAAUAAGCUGGCGCCUUGACGGUACCUAACCAGAAAGCCACGGCUAACUACGUGCCAGCCGCCGCGGUAA
rnacentral:rRNA from 1 species